CUGUGGGUAAAAGGGAGCUGCAGAAUUGUGUCCUAAUUGUUAUUAAAAUGGUUUUUAAUUGCAUCGAGGUAAUGCUAAGCUUUAGCAAUGUUUUGGUAUUCUUAAUUACAUGUGAGACCUUCUUUGCCUUCUUGUAACGUGAGUAUUUCCACUAUUGGUUCACAGAACAGUUCAUCAGCUUUAGUGAGGAGAAAAUCUAAAUGUCAGUAGUUGAUUUGAACAGCUGGGGAAUGAAACAUCCUCAACUCAGCAGUCAUGGCAAUCCCCACCUUUCUGUGCUACAUGACCCACUUGUUUAACCUGUGAACCUCUUCAACCUUUUGAACUCUUGAUUGAAGAUCUUGAUCUGUAUUUAUAAUUAAAAGGUUUUUUAUCUUUCAGCUUUCUCAGCAAAUGGGAUAGGUAGCAUCAAUCCUGAGGAGAAUAAACUUUGCUGUGAAGCAGAAACAAAACUCUGGGAGUCCAAUCUUACACUGAAGUGCCACACUGAAAUGUCAGGUGCAGAAACUAGAAAAGCAACAGCUGGUAUCGUUGGUGAGGAAAUUCCAGGUAGAAGGAGCAACAUUUUCAUCUCCCUCACAUUCCUGCUGUUCCUUGUGCUUUGUGCAGGAAUGGUCAGCAUGUAUUGCUAUCGGCGCCAUCGGAACAGUCAAGCUCUUAGAAUAAACAGACAGGCUUCAGAUGAAGAGAGCCUCACACAUGAUUGAAAACCAUCUACAAGUGAGAAGACCUCUGUGCCAGCAGCAUCUUCCUUUGUCCUGAUUUACAGCAACCAGCUGAAGCAACAGGGGCUAAUUUCCCUGAGACCUCCUGGUCCCAUAUUCACAAAUGGUCUGGUUUUCACAAAUGCACCUUCACCACAUCCACAUGUUCACCAAGGACUGUGAUUGCCACAGUUGUCCAGCUCCAGGCCUUCACGAGCAGCACAAGCAGCCCCCUGGAUCUCUCAUCCUCUGCUGGUCCUUGACUGAGGACAGCAGCCAUCACAAGGUGUGUGGCUGACUCAGCAGCACAGCCUUAAACCUGCUGAAUUAUC